CGGUGGGAGCGCUCUCGGGUACGCCCGGCGCCCCCUUGCUGGCUCUGCUUAGAGGCUGGGUGUUCUCGGACUCUGGGAGGAGUGGGUGGGGCAGGCCCGGUGCAAACAGGUUCUGCCGUGAGUCCAGCAGGAUGCAAGUGCCAUCUUGUAGAAUUCAUGGGAAUGGAGGAGGAUGGAUGCUGUGGCUGAAUAAACUCCUUCCCUGGGUCAGCAAGUGAACCUAGCACAAGGCACCGACUUGUGCCAUCCUGACCUGCCCUUGCAUUACCAGCUGUUUGGGAGAAUUGUAAAAAGGUGACUCAUUUAGAGUCAGAUUCUGUUUUAGGGGAAUAUCAUGCAGACCCUCUCCUGACUUCGUAGAAGGUUUUCUGACCUUGUCAAAAGGUUAGAGAGAGGCAGAUUACAUGACCAUUUUUUAAAAGAGGAAGAAAGUGAGUUCUGCAAACCACAGAUCAGUGAACCUGACAUUGGGCCUGGAAAAUCUUCAGGGCAGAUGACUUAACAAAAAAAUAUUUGUGACCUCUCCAAAGAUGAAACAACAGUGACAAAGACCAAGUCACACUAGGUUAACCUUAUUUCUUGAUGUGAAAUGUAUAAAUGUGUAAAUCAAGGAAAUAUGGUGGAAAUAUAUAUCUGGGCCUGGAAGGUAUAUUUCCCAGUAUUCUU
rnacentral:lncRNA from 1 species